CUGAUGGUGCCUUGGGGUCAUUAGCAAAGGCCCACUGAGGGAAGUGACUUUUGAGAGCAUAAUUCCGAGGACAUGCUAUGAUAAAUCUAAUGAUGUUGUCUAAUGACUCUGAUGAACGAAUUAGUUAAUCUGUGAGUUGAGCAGCUGGUCUGUCACAGUGGUCCUGAGGGAAGUUCUGGGGUCAGACUAUUUGGAUUCAUAUUCUUGUUGUCCUAUGUUCUUGAUGUGUAAUCAUGGGCCAAUUAUUUCACCAUCAGCUUCUUUCUUUGUAAGACAGAGAUGACAACAAACUCUCUUCUGGGCUUCUUAGAAGGCAUGUAAGUGAGUGCAACAAUAUGGGGAAAACACACUAAAAUUGGAAACAGUAUGAAAAAGCCUUCAAAAAAAGGCAGAAUCUUCUUUGACUUAAUGAAAAAGGAUCACAAUGUGUACAAAGCAGAAGAGUCAAGCCUAUUCCGCAGCCUGCUCUGUUUGUGGACAGCUCUGUGAGACAAUCUGCUCUUAGGAGGAGAAGCUAAUGUGCUUCCUGAAAUUUAUAAUGAGACUGCCAGAGAUCUCAAGGAGGGUUAGGAAAUUUUUGCAAAAUUCCAGAGAGAGACAGAGAGAGAGAGAGAGACCUCUCCCUGUUCCCUUUAAUACUACAGUCUCCUGCAGGCCUCAGUCCUCCUCAUGGUGUGCUCACAUAAUUCUUUUCCUUGGAUCACCCCUCCUUAAUUUCCUUACAUCUGUCCCCUUCCCUCCUGCCUUCUCUAAAACAUCUAAGAGAAACACCAUUGCCAUAGCUCAUUCACCUACAAGUAGUA